AUUGAACGCUGGCGGCAGGCCUAACACAUGCAAGUCGAGCGGCAGCGGGAAAGUAGCUUGCUACUUUUGCCGGCGAGCGGCGGACGGGUGAGUAAUGCCUGGAAAUUGCCCAGUCGAGGGGGAUAACAGUUGGAAACGACUGCUAAUACCGCAUACGCCCUACGGGGGAAAGCAGGGGACCUUCGGGCCUUGCCCGAUUGGAUAUGCCCAGGUGGGAUUAGCUAGUUGGUGAGGUAAUGGCUCACCAAGGCGACGAUCCCUAGCUGGUCUGAGAGGAUGAUCAGCCACACUGGAACUGAGACACGGUCCAGACUCCUACGGGAGGCAGCAGUGGGGAAUAUUGCACAAUGGGGGAAACCCUGAUGCAGCCAUGCCGCGUGUGUGAAGAAGGCCUUCGGGUUGUAAAGCACUUUCAGCGAGGAGGAAAGGUUGAUGCCUAAUACGUAUCAACUGUGACGUUACUCGCAGAAGAAGCACCGGCUAACUCCGUGCCAGCCGCCGCGGUAACAC
rnacentral:rRNA from 1 species